rnacentral:lncRNA from 1 species
AUUCUGUCUCUUAGGGUCCUGCCACCACCACAUAUGUUAGCCUGCUGGAGGACGACAGCCAGCCAACCUCCAGACAUGUGAGUGAGGCCAACCUAAACCAGCCAGCCCUCAGCCAUCCCAGCAGCUGAACACAGAUGCAUGAGAAAGGCCAGUCUGUAUUACCUGAAUGCAGCCCAGAAGAGCAGAACCACCUAUUGGGUCCUUAGUCUCAUGGGAAAUAGUAGAUGGUGGUUGUUUGCUGCCACUAACAUGUGGAGUGGUUUUCGAUGAAGUAAUAGUUAAUUAAUCCAAUUUUUGUCUUCCCAACUCUACAUGUGCAAAUUCUACCCAUUCCAUUUCAAAUAUACCAUCCUCCAUGAAGUAUUGCCUGAUACCUACAGCAAGAAGUCAGCUCUUUUUCCUCUGACACCCUACAGCAUUUAAACUGUAUCUUUUGGUAUUUGUCAGAAUAGGUUAAAACUAUGCUGCUGUAACAAAUUUCUUUGGCUUUGUAUAAAAAAGAUUUAUUUCUUGCUCAUGGUACACAACUUAUGAGAAUUGCCGGGGAGUUCUGCUUCACACAUUCUCUCAGGCUACCACACUGAGGCAAGCGGCACCUUCAUGGAAACACUGUCUCAGAUCUAGACCUCAGACAAAUCAUGAAGAACUCAAACCUGCUCUUCGUCACUUCUGCCCACUGCCCAUUGUCUAGGCCUGGUCAUGUGUCCUCAUCUAACUGCAAGACAGCUGGAAAAUCAGGGAAAGCACAUGGAUACUUGUCCAUGUCUAUGCCAUUGUUUCUCAUGGUACCAUUUCUUUAUGCCUGUAUACCUUUGAUUUGCGUAGUUUUCUUUCUUAUACCGAAUGUGGUAUAUAUCCUCGCCCAGGACUCGUUUCAUGAACAUGCAUGCUGUGCAUUCUCACAGGGCCCCCAUGCUUAAAACUCUUAGUUUAAUAAUUUGAUAUCACCAUUUUGAAAUUCUUAAUGAGUUUCAACAGGAAGCCUCUCAUUUUCACUUUGUCCUGAACCCUGCAAAUUAUAUAGCUGAUCUUGUUCAUACCUAAUCUAGUAAUUCUCAACCCAGAGUGCUCACUGGAGGAAUUUUUUAAAAUAUAGAUACCCAAGCCCCACCUGAGAACAAAUUACAUCAAACUCUGGGAAUGAGGCCCUGGCAAUGGUUUUUU